UACGAAGGUGGCAAGCGUUGUUCGGAUUUACUGGGCGUACAGGGAGCGUAGGCGGUUGGAUAAGCCCUCCGUGAAAUCUCCAGGCUUAACCUGGAAAGUGCAGAGGGGACUGUUCAGCUAGAGGAUGGGAGAGGAGCGCGGAAUUCCCGGUGUAGUGGUGAAAUGCGUAGAGAUCGGGAGGAACACCGGUGGCGAAGGCGGUUCUCUGGGCCUUACCUGACGCUGAGGAGCGAAAGCGUGGGGAGCGAACAGG
rnacentral:rRNA from 1 species